rnacentral:rRNA from 1 species
UUCCAGACUCCUACGGGAGGCAGCAGUGGGGAAUAUUGCACAAUGGGGGGAACCCUGAUGCAGCGACGCCGCGUGGGUGAAGGAGUACUUCGGUACGUAAAGCCCUAUCAGCAGGAAAGAAAAUGACGGUACCUGACUAAGAAGCCCCGGCUAACUACGUGCCAGCAGCCGCGGUAAUACGUAGAGGGCAAGCGUUAUCCGGAUUUACUGGGUGUAAAGGGAGCGUAGACGGCAGUGCAAGUCCGGAGUGAAAGCCCGGGGCUCAACCCCGGGACUGCAUUUGGAACUGUGCUGCUAGAGUGUCGGAGAGGCAGGCGGAAUUCCUAGUGUAGCGGUGAAAUGCGUAGAUAUUAGGAGGAACACCAGUGGCGAAGGCGGCCUGCUGGACGAUGACUGACGUUGAGGCUCGAAAGCGUGGGGAGCGAACAGGAUUAGAUACCCCCGUACGA